GACGAACGCUGGCGGCGUGCCUAAUACAUGCAAGUAGAACGCUGAAGAGAGGAGCUUACUCUUCUUGGAUGAGUUGCGAACGGGUGAGUAACGCGUAGGUAACCUGCCUUGUAGCGGGGGAUAACUAUUGGAAACGAUAGCUAAUACCGCAUAACAAUGGAUGACACAUGUCAUUUAUUUGAAAGGGGCAAUUGCUCCACUACAAGAUGGACCUGCGUUGUAUUAGCUAGUAGGUGAGGUAACGGCUCACCUAGGCGACGAUACAUAGCCGACCUGAGAGGGUGAUCGGCCACCCUGGGACUGAGACACGGCCCAGACUCCUACGGGAGGCAGCAGUAGGGAAUCUUCGGCAAUGGGGGCAACCCUGACCGAGCAACGCCGCGUGAGUGAAGAAGGUUUUCGGAUCGUAAAGCUCUGUUGUAAGUCAAGAACGGGUGUGAGAGUGGAAAGUUCACACUGUGACGGUAGCUUACCAGAAAGGGACGGCUAACUACGUG
rnacentral:rRNA from 1 species